rnacentral:rRNA from 1 species
UACGUAGGGUGCAAGCGUUACUCGGAAUUACUGGGCGUAAAGCGUGCGCAGGCGGUUUUGUAAGUCUGUCGUGAAAUCCCCGGGCUCAACCUGGGAAUUGCGAUGGAGACUGCAAGGCUAGAAUCUGGCAGAGGGGGGUAGAAUUCCACGUGUAGCAGUGAAAUGCGUAGAGAUGUGGAGGAACACCGAUGGCGAAGGCAGCCCCCUGGGUCAAGAUUGACGCUCACGCACGAAAGCGUGGGGAGCAAACAGG